rnacentral:lncRNA from 1 species
CCCCAUCUCCCAGGGAGUAGCUUGGUGGUCUUCUCUCCAUAGAACCUGUGCCUUUGGGGAAUGUUACUGCUGAUCACACCAGAGAACAUGCCAACAGGGAGGUUAUGGAGCUCCCAAAGUUUCCUGGGGCUGUUUUGUCAUCUGUAAAAUAAGCCAGCUCUGCCCCUUCCAGAGGUUGUCAGAGACCUAGUGAGACACUGAAAGUGCAUUUAAAGGGUGUGGGGUCCUCAAAGUCAAGGACGUAUUACCAGAAAGCCCACGUCACAUGGCUCAGGGAGCCCCUGGGGAAGGACAGGGCUGGAUUUGAAGCCUGGAUCUGUCAUUUACUAGCUGAGGGAUCUUGGACAGGUCAUUUCAGCUUUCCUGCUUAAGUAGAGCUAAGAUGGCCUGUGAACGAGACCAUAGAAACCCAGGCAUUUCUGGCUCCAAGGGGAGGCCGCUGCUGUGGGGAAGGAGCCCUGGUUGGGAAAUCUGUUAGAGACAGUUAUUUUGUCACCAACUGGAAUGGCCUUGGGACAAAGCUCUGCUGCUAUCUUGCCUUUACCUCGUCCCUUCUAUCAUCCUGUCACCUCCUUCAGCCUUCACAUUGGCCUUGGCCUCAGUUUCCUCAUGUGUGACUUGGGGGAGAUGAUUCCUGUAGGAAUCAGUGAGCUUGGGACAAGGAAGCUAAUAGGUCAUGUUACAGUUGAACUGCCUGAAGUGGGGUGUUCAGUUGUAGAGAGCAGCAGUCGGCGUGGUGUGCGAACGAGCCUCAGAGAACGUUAGGGAUCUCGUUAACAGCUGACGAGAGUCUCACCCAUAAGCAUCGGCGGGCAUUGAGUCUUGAGUGAAGAGCUGGUUGGAAAAGAGGCUCAACAGAAAACCAGGUCACUGUCAACACAGUGAAAAGGAUAAUCAUUUUUUUUAAUGAGUGUAUACAGAGGGAGCCCUUUAAAAAACAAAAAAGCUUUCCUGAAAUGGAGCUCAUUUCCAGCAGAGAAAUGGAUGACUGCGGCAUUGAAGAUGAAAAGGAGGAGGAAGCCAGAGGAGGAGGAGAGGUGCUCCUCAGCAGCCUGUGGGGUCUCGGGUGAUGGAGAGAGACCUUCACAGGCUGGGCAGCUUGCUCUGCUUCACCCCCAAUUAGAGAGAGGGUACUCAGGGCACCCACAUGGCAGGGCGGGCCAGAUCCCAAGAGAGGACCCAAAGGAGCUGAAUUGAACCUGUCCAUUUGCUUUUCCCAAACUCAGGGGUCAGCAAUAUUGCUGCUGCUUGCUGAGCAGAGUGGUGGGGUGGGACGGGGUGGGGAGUAAAAGGGCCCCCCGUGCAUCCUCAGCUGUUCCCCAGGGGGAGGGGGAGGCUGUGCCCCAUUCCAUCCCCCCCUUUUAGGGCCUUGUGGGCAGUUUAGAUCCCCCCACCUAGGCCUUAGGAUGGGUCAGAACCCAGUGUUAACGAACUCCAAGGGCACGUUGGACCCCAAACUAAGAAUUAUCUCUCUACUUUUCCCAUCCUAAAUUAGAUCCAAACCCAAAGUCCAAAUUUGGCACAGAGGUUCUGUAAAGAGAUAAAGUGACAAAGACACCCCAAUAAAAAGUCAAUAUAGAAAUGCCCUCUCUCAUUAUGAAUUUCCUAGGGUGAAAUUCAAAUAAAAAAUUAAAUUCCCUUGCCCUUUUAGGUUAAAGUUCAAAGAAAUAAAAACUGAAAGUCUAAGGUCAAAGGAUUAAAGCCCAAAGCAUUUACAGAGAGCCCAACUGUCACACAAAGCCUGGGGGCCUUAACUUCCUCUGGGGGGGGGGGGCGGCAU